UUAUGAGAAGACUGAUUUGAUAGGAGAACUCCUCAAGUGAGGAGGUUUUAUGAAAAUUAGUCUGAAGUGA
rnacentral:pre_miRNA from 1 species